rnacentral:lncRNA from 1 species
AUAAGGAGAGGGAUAACUUCUUAUCCCUUUCUUUAUACUCAAACGUAAAUUUUUUAUUCGAAAAUAGUAGUUUUCAGAUACCUAAAAUAAAUUGGUAUAACUAUUCCUACCAAUCCCUUUAUUUUCUAUAUAUAACUACCUACUAUUUUUCUUAUUCUAUAUUAUCUAUCCAAACAUUAUUUUUCUUAUCCUCGAAAAUAAUCCAGUUUUCAUCCAAACGCUAUUUUACUUAUCCCCAUAUUUGUACAUAUUCAUGUAAUAGCUAGUUUUUAUUUAUACCCGAACCAAACGGUACCAUAAUAUAUUGUGACGAUGACCUAUAAAAAAUUUAAU